ensembl:lncRNA
AUGCUAACAGCAUGCUUUUCAGUUAAAAGUCAGCCCAUAUCAGGUUUGCUUACAGCUCUACAGCCACAGCUGAAGCUGAAAGAAAUGGACUACUAUGCAAAACAAGUUGUCCCAGAGCAAUAUCAGUGGAUAUGCACUAGCAAAGAAUACAGUCAAGACAGUAAUGAAAGUUCUCCUCGUGUGAAACACCAGCACCUACCUCAGAGGGAGUCAGAGCCCAGCCAACCAUCUCAGCCAUCAGAUGAACAAGCAAAUACAACAGACCCUUUGAAGGAUUCGGAUCCCAUGGAUGGAGAGAUUGAAGAUAUUAGACAUUCUGGAAACAUGGCAGACCAGUUUGGCCAAGCUCCAUUCGUAACCAUGGAGAGACAGAUGGGAUGUGAGGAAACGGCCGUCAUCUCUGAGGAGGAGGAACACAAACACGAUGAUCGGGGAUGUAUGGAACAUGGAAAGACUGAAUGGGAAGAUGGAAUGUCAACCGAUAGAGAAAAAGAGAAACCAGAAAAAACAUGCAGUGUAGUACAGGAUCAGGCUGAGCUGUUGCCAGCUGAUGAAUUUGCCAUGUCGUCACAUUAUGAAAACCAGAAUAUGAGUGAUGAAAAGGAAUCCGAUGAAGAGGAAGAGGGAAACUACAGACUUAGUGACACGAGAGAGGAAAUUUUACAAGAAGACAAUAUGAUGAAAGCCAGAGUGGGUUUUAGCUGGUUUGACAACAGACCCAUAGGAGACUCUCAGCAAGAGAGGAGCAAUGAAUGUCGCCUCUCAUCUAAAAAACGACCCUUGGAACUGGGAAGCAGAGUAGCCACAGGGCUCCAAGAGACCCUGGACCUGGCAGGACUGAAAUCAACACAUGAAAACAGGGAUUCUGAGAUGCUCAGACGGAGGUCUGUACCAACGGAUGUCUCAAACAUAUUUGUUAGCUCCCUAACCCAGUUUGAACUUAAACCAAAUGGCCAAGAGGCUAAACAUGGCUAUUGUACUCAGAAAUACAACCAUGACCCAGUGCAAGGUGAAGAAAAUGAAAAGCAGGCGGUAAAAGGAAAAUGUCUGGAAAUUCUCCCGACUCAUGCCGUCCUUAAAAGUGAAGGAAAAGAGUUGAAACUGAAAGAUGCACUCCCCUACAGGCCGAUAUUGCCUGAUGUGAAGGUGGACAGGAUUUGUGGCGCCGCAGGAAUUCCCUUCAAAGAGCGUGGGGUUGACUUACGCCUGGAGACUGGUCUCUUUGUAGACAUCAAGCAUCAAGUCAUUCUGGAGGUAGAGGUGGAACAGGAUCUCUCUAGGGAGACGUCUCCCAUUCCCCCUGAAAACACAGAUAAACCUAAAGCGAAAUUCUGGUCAGAAAGCUCAGCCGAGACCUCUGGUAAGCACCCAGGCUUUCCUGAGUCCUCCACGGGUCACACUGGUAUAGCAACAACACCAGAGGAGGCACAAGGACUGAAGUCAGAAGCUGACAUCAUUAUUUCUGGACAAAAAGACACAGAUAUGUUACCCUUAGCUAAUAUGGUCAAACAAUAUUCUGAAAUGGACCAUAAAGAGGACGAAGACAUCAAAAUAGUGAAAGAGCCUGAGGACAUUAUGGAAGAAACUGUGAAACCAAAGGAAAAUAAUCAAGAGAGUGAUCCCACUGAUGGCUUGAAGAUUGAACUAAUGUGUAAUGCCACUACUGAAGUUCAUCAUACUACUUCUAAGCAGCCAGUGGAGCUAUGGGUAGAGGCAUCAGAGAGACCUUCAUUAGCUGAACAGGAGCCACAAUUGAAGUCAGAAAUAGUGGAGGAUCAAGAAGCUGAACUACUUGAGGAAAGCCACAGACAGGAAAUGUUCAGAGGGCUAGAAGAUCCCAAAAUGCCCCCAUUGACCCUUAAAGAUGCAGAACUGAGUGGAAGAAGCAGUGACCACAGAGAUGAGAUGUCCAUGGAUGAAUCUGUUUCAGAGGCAUUGGAAAGUGCGUGGGUUGACUUACAAGGUUAG